UACAGAGGUCUCAAGCGUUGUUCGGAUUCAUUGGGCGUAAAGGGUGCGUAGGUGGCGUGGCAAGUCAGGUGUGAAAUCUCGGAGCUCAACCCCGAAACUGCACUUGAUACUGCCUUGCUGGAGUACUGGAGAGGAGAUUGGAAUUUACGGUGUAGCAGUGAAAUGCGUAGAUAUCGUAAGGAAGACCAGUGGCGAAGGCGAAUCUCUGGACAGUUACUGACACUGAGGCACGAAGGCCAGGGGAGCAAACGGG
rnacentral:rRNA from 1 species